rnacentral:lncRNA from 1 species
GUAUAGUCCAUGGGGUCGCAAAGAGUCGGACACGACUGAGUGACUUUCACCUCACUUACACGGUAGAUGAUUGUGUCCCAAGAUAAUGAAUUCUGUGAGCCACAGACUUUACUAGGUCCUGGUCUUCCGGAUGGAGCAAAUUUAAAUACUAUAAUUUUUUAUUCACUUAUUCUAAAACACUUCUAAGCACCUAAUGUGUGCUAGGCAAGGCACACAUUGAAUAUAUUUUAGAAAGGAUUUAUGUCCAACUUAAAGAAUUUAUUACUUUCUUUUUUAAUAGCUGCAGCUGGCAGCACGACUUAACCAUACGUUGUAUGUCAUCCACCUGCUUUUAAAAUUCAGUUUGAUAACACAUAGGAGAUUACGAUACAGGGUGACCUGUCAUCACAGAAUUAAACCUCUUUGCCUCCAGGGUACAAUGAGGCUUUCUUUGAAGUCUGAAUGCCUCUCAUGCUUUAUUAACAAAAGAAAAAUAACUAAUUACAUAAGCCUCAAAUAACAAAAACUUAAUUUCACAUUACAGGCAACUAACAGGCAGUAUAAACAAUGAGCUAUGUCAGACAAUAGAAAGGAACAGAAUAGAGAUAUUUUUGCUUUAAUGUUAAUACAUGAUGGAUUGCAAAUCACUACUGGAGUUUCUGGGCUUUUUAAAGUUACUUCUAUGUUUUGGUUUGAUUGAUACUUUUAUUUUUAACAUAAUUUAAUCAUCUGCCUUUUUAAGUUUCCAAGAUACCCAUAACUAUCUGACAAUCAAAUUAUUACUGUAUCUAGGAUCAUGAGUUAUGUAAUAUUGCACAUCAUGUGAAGGUAAGUUUCUUCACAAAAGUCUCUCAAGGCCUUGGAGAGAACUGAUUUGGAAAUAGAGGCCACAGAGUUUCAGAGCAAAGAGAGGAAACAGAUAAACUCACCAGUGUAAGGGGACUUACUGUUUGGAUGUUCAAACGCAGAAUCCCUCAACGGCAUUAGGCUUGUUAAUUGACUCAGAUACUGCCAGUGAACAAGCCCCUUGCCCAGGAAACGCUUGCUCAGCCGCCUUUAUCUUUCUCUCUCUCUCACUCAUUCACCCAAUUCAUUAAAGCCUGUUUCUCCCAGGUGCGUCCUGAAGAGUUUCAUUGUUCUGCCUAUUGUACUUGUUGGCUCACAGACCUCUUUCACAAUUUUCCUGCGUUUCUGAAGGCUCCUCGAGUACCAGUUUUGACCAGCCCAUUUGCAGCUAGUCCUUUAAUAAAGGGGCCUUGAAUAAACGGGGAAGAUAGGCGACUGGCGAAAGACAGGGUAAUACGAAGAGCUGGGGCGGGGGAGGCCAGACUCCCC